UACGAAGGGGGCUAGCGUUGCUCGGAAUCACUGGGCGUAAAGGGUGCGUAGGCGGGUCUUUAAGUCAGGGGUGAAAUCCUGGAGCUCAACUCCAGAACUGCCUUUGAUACUGAAGAUCUUGAGUUCGGGAGAGGUGAGUGGAACUGCGAGUGUAGAGGUGAAAUUCGUAGAUAUUCGCAAGAACACCAGUGGCGAAGGCGGCUCACUGGCCCGAUACUGACGCUGAGGCGCGAAAGCUAGGGUAGCAAACGGG
rnacentral:rRNA from 1 species